GACGAACGCUGGCGGCGUGCCUAACACAUGCAAGUCGAACGGGACUUAGCGGAAUGCGGCUUCGGCCAAAGGAAGUUAAGUUUAGUGGCGAACGGGUGAGUAACGCGUGAGGAACCUGCCUUUCAGUGGGGGGACAACAGUUGGAAACGACUGCUAAUACCGCAUAACAUGACGAGACCGCAUGAUCUUGUCAUCAAAGCUUUAUGUGCUGAAAGAUGGCCUCGCGUCUGAUUAGCUAGUUGGAGGGGUAACGGCCCACCAAGGCGACGAUCAGUAGCCGGUCUGAGAGGAUGAACGGCCACAUUGGGACUGAGAUACGGCCCAGACUCCUACGGGAGGCAGCAGUGGGGAAUAUUGGGCAAUGGGGGAAACCCUGACCCAGCAACGCCGCGUGAAGGAAGAAGGCUUUCGGGUUGUAAACUUCUUUACCAGGGACGAAGGACGUGACGGUACCUGGAGAAAAAGCAACGGCUAACUACGUG
rnacentral:rRNA from 1 species